rnacentral:lncRNA from 1 species
UCCCAGGCCCAUUAUAAGGUGGCUCUCAAUGGCCUGAUGUCUUCUGGACUCUGCAGGUAGCUUCAUGCAUGUGUAUAUACAUGGCUUCGAGGAAUCUCAUACUAGUUAUCAGGCUGUACAUUUACCCAGUAACCUGCCUCAGUAGCUCUAAGGUUGUCCUUUUAAAUGCCCAACCAUAGCAAUCAUUCCCAUAAGCUUUCCCCAAAUUUCUCUAUCCCUUGGACUUGGACUUGUCCCUGAGACUAUUCUUAAUGGGCCCAUGUCAUGUUCUAUCCAUGGAGAUCAGCUCCCACAAAAAACAAAACAAAAUAGAACAAAACCAAACAGACAAAAAUCCCACUAGCAUCUUUUCUCCUUUUCAAGCUACAAAACGAAAAGGUCUUCCUAUGCUUACGUUUCUGCUCAGAACACUGGUCCCCCAACCACUGUCAGCAAUGGGAAGUCAUCAAGCGUCUCCUCUCUGGCAUCCCAGCUGCAUGGGCUCCCCUCGGGCCUUGGAGGUCUUUUGCCUUCCUAAGGAGGAUCACAGGAAUUCGUGCUGGAGCAAAGGGAGGAAAUGAAAACAAGUUAUUCUGUCAGCCAGGCACCCUGCUAUAUUUAUUUACUCCAUUAAUUAAAGUAAUGAGAAACAAAACCUGCUGCUCAGGGGGCAGGAGCUGAGGCUUCGCCUCUAAAAAACCCGUUGGCUGUGCUGUGCGGGUAUGGGUGUGGUAUGUAGCCCGAAUGAGGUACAGCAGGAUCUCCUGUCAUCAAUUCCAAAAGCCCUGGGGAGCUGGGGGGCAGAAGAGGACCUCAAUUUGGUGCCCAACCCUCCUCCCAGGCUUCUUGGAAGUGAAAGCAGAUUAGCUUGCAGCCGAUGGUCCAGAACCCAGCAUCCCACACAAACGGAGAGGUCUCCAUCUCUUCCCAGAGAUAAGCUUUGUUAAAGAAAGGAAGAGAUGGCAAGGGUGGGGAGGUGGAAGUAUGUGCCCUAGAAGGAAGGGGAAGAACAGUAAAGUGCUGGAUCCCCAAUGCAUGACAGAAGGAUCACCCAACCUGAAGGCACAGAGGGGCGACCUUCAUGGUCCAAUAUCAGAGCUCACAUGAGCUCUGGAUGGUCACAGGGGGGACUGUUCCCAGUGUGCACAUUACAUUGGCCAGGUAUGGAGAUUCAACUCUUUCAGGAAAGCAAACCUCCUGCACUAGUCUGGGAGAAGGAGCAGGAGGAAAGGAACAACUCCGGACAACAUCCAAAGUUCUUGGGAGCUUGACUAAUUGCUUUAAUUACCCAGCCUGUAGCCAUUAAGGCAAGUGGCACUGACAGUAGUAGCACAAGAAUAGGACCCAAUAUUAGACCUCGGCGACUGCCCUGUUAUUCCCAUGUCUCUAAAGCUGGUGUAAGCUGGUGUUGGAGCCAGAGAAGAGGAAUGUGCAGGGCGUGACCCAAGGCCGACCAACACCGAUUAGCACCCAGCCUCUUCCCUUGUCCUCACAUCUCCCUGGGAGAAUUAAGUGCCUACAAAACAAUUUGCAUCUGGAAAAUCUCCAAAGUGGAUUUUAUUCUCACCCAAAUGUUACCCAGUAUUUUAAUUAACCUGGGCUUAUUCUUCUAAUUACUUGAGUUUUAUGCGGCGAAUUGCUGCUCAGGAGUGGAGACGAUCAGUAAACACAAUUACUGUGUAUAAUAUUCCUAGCUAAGCUUUGCCCUUAAAAUUUUAUUUAAAAAAUAAUAAUUAGUAACAUAAAUCUUUAAUUUCUGGUUCACUGAGGCAGACAGACUGGGGAAGAUAGG